rnacentral:rRNA from 1 species
ACCAGACUCCUACGGGAGGCAGCAGUGAGGAAUAUUGGUCAAUGGGCGCGAGCCUGGACCAGCCAAGUCGCGUGAGGGAGGACGGCCCUACGGGUUGUAAACCUCUUUUGCCGGGGAGCAACGGGCGUCACGUGUGGCGCCACUGAGAGUACCCGGAGAAAAAGCAUCGGCUAACUCCGUGCCAGCAGCCGCGGUAAUACGGAGGAUGCGAGCGUUAUCCGGAUUUAUUGGGUUUAAAGGGUGCGUAGGCGCAUCUUUAAGCCUGUGGACAAUUGGGGGGCCCCACCCCCUCCCCGCCAUUGAAACUGGCGCUCUUGAGUGGAAGAGAAGUAUGCGGAAUGCGUGGUGUAGCGGUGAAAUGCAUAGAUAUCACGCAGAACCCCGAUUGCGAAGGCAGCAUGCCGGCUUCCGACUGACGCUGAAGCACGAAAGCGUGGGGAUCGAACAGGAUUAGAUACCCGCGUAU